GAAAACACUUCAGGCCAGUCCCUGAGUAGGAAUGGACAACAAGGUGGUCACCAUGCUGACAGCUAUUCCCUGUGUGAUUUACUUUAUUAUGAAGUCUAAAUUUGAUGCUGAAGUGCUAGCCUAAGCUCACUAACCUGCCAACUUAGAGAAGAAGGUAACCAUGGCUAGGAUGACUGGGAAUCUGAUGGACUCAAUUAAGAAUUUCUACAGAUGGGAAAACCAAAACUCCUUAGUGGCAAGAGGCCAAAGAUGGUCAGCGAAUUGUUGUUUCCGGCUGUUGGAAGUUGACUGCAGUUGAAUAACAGAACAAAAACGGAGCUUCAAAAUCAUGGCGUGCCUGCUUCUUCUGGGUUCUUUUAACUGCAAGCAAUCAGCUUUGAAGAGCACCUCAAGAAUAACAUUUACAUAUGAAAGAAAAUAGGAGAUGGCUCAGAAUAAUAUGUCCAAGGCCACGCCCAGGCGUCAGGGAUUCAUGAAUUUUGUAUACAGUGUAUGAUGUUUCUAGAUUAAAAUAUUUUCAAAGGUAA
rnacentral:lncRNA from 1 species